UACGAAGGUGGCGAGCGUUACUCGGAAUUACUAGGCGUAAAGGGCAGGUAGGUGGUUUGAUAAGUCUGUUGUGUAAACUCCCGGCUUAACUGGGAGAGGUCAACGGAUACUGUCAGGCUUGAGUAUAGGAGAGGGUACUGGAAUUCCCGGUGUAGCGGUGAAAUGCGCAGAUAUCGGGAGGAACACCAAUGGCGAAAGCAGGUACCUGGACUAUUACUGACACUCAGCUGCGAAAGCUAGGGGAGCAAACAGG
rnacentral:rRNA from 1 species